GUUGUUUCCAUGGUAACCGGCCCCGGAGUCCCAUUGCUAAGGAGGCAGCUUGGCAGGCCUGGCGUCCCCAUGACAACUGCCCCCUGCGGCCCAGGCAGCAGGCACUUCCUCAGGGACCCAGGGGAGGGCAGAGGUGGGACACAGGCCUGGCCUUUGAGGCUCUGGGGAAGUCUUUUCGAAGAAGAGUGAUUUAGUCCAGCCAAACCUCGAGGGGCAGACGUGUACUUCAGCGGCCCCAAGGAUACUCACCCCCAUCCACCCCCCUACCUACCCAGGAUGCAUCACCCCAGGUACCUGCACAGCACAGGGCCUUGCUGCUCCACUGGGGGACCCAGGCAACACCAAUCACGAUCUUCUCUGUUCCCUGACUCCAAAAGGACCCUUGUUACAGUGAGCAGAAGGGCACCUACACUCAACAGGGCGAGGAACUUGGACCAGACCAGUCCACGAGAAUGUGCAGGGACCAGGAUGCACACCUGGCACUGGGGACUCCAAUCCUGCCCCUCUCCGUGGUGACAUGCCAAGGGGCUGAUGGCAGGAGCAGUCUGUCUGGGCGCAGGCAAGAAAGGUGGUGUUGUCUGUAAGAAUUUAAAAGCAAGAAUAAAAAUGACUAAACGCCA